CCUACGGGCGGCAGCAGUGGGGAAUAUUGCACAAUGGGGGAAACCCUGAUGCAGCGACGCCGCGUGAGUGAAGAAGGAGUUCGGGAUGUAAAGCUCUAUCAGCAGGAACGAGACAAGACGGUACCGGACGAAGAAGCACCGGCUAACUACGUGCCAGCAGCCGCGGUAAGACGUCGGGGGCAAGCGUUCUCCGGAAUCACGGGGUGUAAAGGGAGCGUAGACGGCUGAGCAAGCCUGAAGUGAAAGGCGGGGGCCCAACCCCUGGACUGCUUUGGUAACUGUACGGCUGGAGUGAAGGAGAGGUAAGUGGAAUUCCUUGUGUAGCGGUGACAUGCGUAGAUAUUAGG
rnacentral:rRNA from 1 species